GCAGGAUUGAUGAAGAGGAAAAGUUUAUCUUUAUUUUUAUGUUAUGCUGAUUUGUCCUUCUUGAUGCUAUACUUCUUAGAUGUGGUUCUGAAGGAAAAGGAAAAAUAAUUUGUGGCUUGAAGCAGUAAUUCAUCAUAGUAGAAAGGGUCAUUAUAGUUGGAGGAACUAAUGUUCUUAGUUAAGCGUUUAUGCUUUUGGUAACAUUCUCAUGUUUGUAGCACAACUAUUUGAAGAAAAUUAGUUGUAAAUACCGAAUAUGAUUUAUUGGACUUAGCUAAAUUUUUUAUUAUAUGUGAGACAUUCAUAGCAGAAAUUACCUUUCAGUUGACGUCCUUACUUUCUGAGAUUGGGCUGAAUAUUCAAGAAGCACAUGCUUUUUCAACAACAGAUGGCUUUUCCUUGGAUGUUUUUGUAGUUGAUGGUUGGGUAAUUGAGGAUACCAAGCAGCUAAAAGAUAUACUGGCAGAAGAAAUAUCAAAGAUUCAGAAAAGGCAUCCUCUAUUCACACCUUGCAUUUUCCAUACUGAGAAGCAAGAAAUUCAUAUCAUGAGAAAACUUCGGCACAAGAAUGUUGUCCAAUUUAUUGGUGCAUCUACCAGGCCUCCAAGCCUUUUCAUUGUUACAGAGUACAUGUCUGGUGGAAGCUUACACGACUUUUUACAUCAACAAAAGGCCGUUCUUAGUUUUCCUUCCUUACUAAGAGUGGCAGUUGAUGUGUCGAAGGGAAUGGACUAUUUGCAUCAAAAGAAUAUCAUCCAUAGAGAUCUAAAAGCUGCAAAUCUUUUGAUGGAUGAAUAUGGGGUAAGAAGAAAUAAAACUUUUGCAUUUACUUCGUGAGUUGAUCAAUAAGACGUGCUUAUUAACUUACCAAGUCAUUUUGACACACUCUUCUGUUUCCUAUUAGUUUUAAAAGCAUGCUUACUGGUAUUCAAUUUGAUGGCAAUAUUAUGUAUCUUCAUUUCAUAACCAUUGA